AACUUUUGGCAACGGAUCUCUUGGCUCUCACAUCGAUGAAAAACGCAGCGAAACGCAAAAUGUAAUGUGAAUUGCAGAACCUUCAGUGAAUCAUCGAAUCUUUGAACGCAUCUUGCGCCUUGUGGCAUUCCGCGAGGCAUGUCUGUUUGAGUGUCGUUUGACCUCUCAACCGCUUUGGUAUUCAAUUACAAAAGUCGGCUUGGACCUUGGGUGUCGGCAUUACAUCUAGCGAUGUGCGCCCACCCGAAAGUCAAGUUGGGCCAAUCGCGCGAGCAACGGUUUGACCAAAGUGUUGUAAGGUUCGCCUCGCUUUGGGACGUCGAGCGUCAGCAUACGGCAUUGUAGACACGAUACUAUCGAUUUUGAUCUCAAAUCAGACAGGAGUACCCGCUGAACUUAAGCAUAUCAAUAAGCGGAGGCU
rnacentral:misc_RNA from 1 species